UGUAAUAUGUAAGUGAUUUGAUGGUGGAGACAGGAAAUCACGGAAAGAGACAUAUUGAGUGUGUGAGCUUGUGUUUCCGCAUUGCGAGCAGGAGGUGACUAGUGUUUAGACAAACAUAUUAGCGCACAUUACGUACCUGUGCUGUUCGGCAAUUACGAAGAAUACCAGAUCGACGCUUGGUGGCUUAGGAGGGCAAUCAUGGACUGCAAGGGAACUAGUUGGGUGAAAAAAGAGAAGAAUGAAAUAUAUGCUGAACCAGAAUCCUUGUUUAUUGAAGGUCCGCUAAAGAUUGUAAUGCCUAGUCUCCAUAUAAAGCAAGACCAAGAACUGAAACAGGAGGAUGGCAUUGAGCGUGAUGUAAGUUUUCACAUCAGU
rnacentral:lncRNA from 1 species